GACGAACGCUGGCGGCGUGCUUAACACAUGCAAGUCGAACGGAAAGGCCCUGCUUUUGUUGGGUGCUCGAGUGGCGAACGGGUGAGUAACACGUGAGUAUCCUGCCCUUGACUUUGGGAUAACUUCAGGAAACUGGGGCUAAUACCGGAUAGGAUCUCCUGCUGCAUGGUGGGGGUUGGAAAGUUUCGGCGGUUGGGGAUGGACUCGCGGCUUAUCAGCUUGUUGGUGGGGUAGUGGCGUACCAGGGCUUUGACGGGUAGCCGGCCUGAGAGGGUUACCGGCCACAAUGGGACUGAGAUACGGCGCAGACUCCUACGGGAGGCAGCAGUGGGGAAUAUUGCACAAUGGGCGGAAGCCUGAUGCAGCAACGCCGCGUGCGGGAUGACGGCCUUCGGGUUGUAAACCGCUUUCGACUGUGACGAAGCGUGAGUGACGGUAAUGGGUAAAGAAGCACCGGCUAACUACGUG
rnacentral:rRNA from 1 species